rnacentral:rRNA from 1 species
CGAGCACGCGCGUGUGGCAUAUCAAUAAGCGGAGGAAAAGAAACUAACAAGGAUUCCCUUAGUAACGGCGAGUGAAGCGGGAAGAGCUCAAAUUUGGAAUCUUCAAGGUUCUACCUUGACGAAUUGUAGUUUAUAGAAGUGUUUUCUGUUAGUGGAGUGGCAAAAGUUCUUUGGAAUAGGACAUCAUAGAGGGUGAGAAUCCCGUAUUUGGUCAUUCCUCCUAGCGUUGUGAUACACUUUCAACGAGUCGGAUUGUUUGGGAAUGCAGUCCAAAAUGGGUGGUAAAUUUCAUCUAAAGCUAAAUAUUGGCGAGAGACCGAUAGCGAACAAGUACCGUGAGGGAAAGAUGAAAAGAACUUUGAAAAGAGAGUUAAACAGUACGUGAAAUUGUCAAAAGGGAAGCGUUUGACACCAGUGUUGUUUUUCCGAAAAUCAAUUACGAAUGUUUUGUUUUUGAGGAGUUAUGACUUCAUCGGCUUGCUCCUUUCUUUAUGAAACUUUCUUAAUGCACUUUUCGGUUAACAAGUCAACAUCAAUUUCUUUUGUUGUAAAAGGGUAUGAGGAAGGUGGCUUUCUUUUCGGAGAAAGUGUUUAUAGCCUUGUGCCUCUGCAAUCGGAGAGAUUGAGGUCUGCAGCGUAGAUCCUUCGGGGUUAGAUACGUUUGUGCUAAGUUAUAGCUUUUCAUAGACAACUUGUUGACUAUGUUUAGUCUUGUAGCUUACUCGCUGACGCUAUUUUACCUACGCUUAGGAUGUUGAACUCUAUCACACACAG